rnacentral:rRNA from 1 species
UACGGAGGGGGCUAGCGUUGUUCGGAAUUACUGGGCGUAAAGCGCACGUAGGCGGCUUUGCAAGUCAGAGGUGAAAGCCCGGGGCUCAACCCCGGAAUUGCCUUUGAGACUGCAUCGCUAGAAUUGUGGAGAGGUAAGUGGAAUUCCGAGUGUAGAGGUGAAAUUCGUAGAUAUUCGGAAGAACACCAGUGGCGAAGGCGACUUACUGGACACAUAUUGACGCUGAGGUGCGAAAAGCGUGGGGGAGCAA